CCCCCGUUGAGAUUUCAUGGCCCGGUCGCGUGCGCGGCGCUGUGCCAGGGAUCCGUCGUUUCGACGGCGGCAAGUCGGGACUGCCGCAACCCCCCGUUGCCUUGCCCAGGUGUGUUAACUCGUCGCUCGGAGCGUUCUGUGUCUAGGAUGGGUGCACUCGCAAGAUUUGCGGGGCAGGGGCCCCGUCCGAUGACACGGCUCUCCCAUGCGUCGACUCCCACCUUUGCGAGGUGAUGGGGCGGGGACACACCAGAGCGUUCCUCGUCGCACCCAUUGGGUGCUCGGGGUUCGGGAUGUGUCAACACCCAACACACGGGUGCAUCGCGCACCUUAGAAAUCCAAAGAAUGAAGCGCGAUCCGGCGCCUUGCGCGCUCGGGUCGCCGAAAGACAAAAACAUAACAAAAUCACGACUCUCGGCAACGGAUAUCUCGGCUCUCGCCACGAUGAAGAAUGUAGCGAAAUGCGAUACUUAGUGUGAAUUGCAGAAUCCCGUGAAUCAUCAAGUCUUUGAACGCAAGUUGCGCCCGAGGCCUCGGCCAAGGGCACGUCUGCUUGGGCGUCGCACUACAAAAUUGCCCUCCCCAGCGAGGAGCGGAGAUGGCCGUCCGUGUCCCCAAGUGGCGCGGUCGGCUGAAAUGAGCACGAGGUCCGUCGAUCCGUCGCGACGAGCGGUGGCUCCCAAAAGGCCGGCGUUGGUUUGCGCUGAUCGAACGAUUCCUCGCGAGGAACUUUAUUCUGGGUCCAGCGGCCCGCCGCAGUGCGGGCAUGCUGCAUCUCUACCGCGUCCCCAAGUCAGGC
rnacentral:rRNA from 1 species